AUUGAACGCUGGCGGCAGGCCUAACACAUGCAAGUCUAACGAGUUGCGGACGGGUGAGUAAUGUCUGGGAAACUGCCUGAUGGAGGGGGAUAACUACUGGAAACGGUAGCUAAUACCGCAUACCAUCGGAUGUGCCCAGAGGGGAUUAGCUAGUAGGUGGGGUAACGGCUCACCUAGGCGCCUAUCCCUAGCUGGUCUGAGAGGAUGACCAGACACACUGGAAAUGAGACACGGUCCAGACUCCUACGGGAGGCAGCAGUGGGGAAUAUUGCACAAUGGGCGCAAGCCUGAUGCAGCCAUGCCGCGGGUAUGAAGAAGGCCUUCGGGUUGUAAAGGACUUUCAGCGGGGAGGCGUUACCCGCAGAAGAAGCACCGGCUAACUCCGUGCCAGCCGCCGCGGUAAUUC
rnacentral:rRNA from 1 species